rnacentral:rRNA from 1 species
GAUGAACGCUGGCGGCGUGCCUAAUACAUGCAAGUCGAGCGAACUGAUUAGAAGCUUGCUUCUAUGACGUUAGCGGCGGACGGGUGAGUAACACGUGAGCAACCUGCCUGUAAGACUGGGAUAACUUCGGGAAACCGAGGCUAAUACCAGAUAGGAUCUUCUCCUUCAUGGGAGAUGAUUGAAAGAUGGUUUCGGCUAUCAAUUACAGAUGGGCCCGCGGUGCAUUAGCUAGUUGGUGAGGUAACGGCUCACCAAGGCAACGAUGCAUAGCCGACCUGAGAGGGUGAUCGGCCACACUGGGACUGAGACACGGCCCAGACUCCUACGGGAGGCAGCAGUAGGGAAUCCUCCGCAAUGGACGAAAGUCUGACGGAGCAACGCCGCGUGAGUGAUGAAGGCUUUCGGGUCGUAAAACUCUGUUGUUAGGGAAGAACAAGUACGAGAGUAACUGCUCGUACCUUGACGGUACCUAACCAGAAAGCCACGGCUAACUACGUGCCAGCAGCCGCGGUAA